CCUACGGGAGGCAGCAGUGAGGAAUAUUGGUCAAUGGCCGGGAGGCUGAACCAGCCAAGUCGCGUGAGGGAAGACGGCCCUACGGGUUGUAAACCUCUUUUGACAGGGAAGAAGAUGCAGGUCGGGAAGUACGGUGAUAGUACCUGAAGAAAAAGCAUCGGCUAACUCCGUGCCAGCAGCCGCGGUAAUACGGAGGAUGCGAGCGUUAUCCGGAUUUAUUGGGUUAAAAGGGGUCGCAGGCGGUGUCAUAAGUCAGCGGUAAAAUGGCGGGGCGACACCCCGCUCUGCCGUUGAAACUGUGUCCCUUGAGUGCGCGCAGGGUAGGCGGAAUGCGUUGUGUAGCGGUGAAAUGCAUAGAUAUCACUCAGAACUCCGAUAGCGAAGGCAGCUUACCGGCGCGCAACUGACGCUCAAGCACGAAAGCGUGGGUAUCGAACAGGAUUAGAUACCCGAGUAGUC
rnacentral:rRNA from 1 species